CAUCACUCUCUCAAGGCCCUGCUGUCCAGCGCUGGUGAACGGACACCAGGAUAGUACAUGUCUUCAGGAGAAGUUGCUUACUUUUCCUAGACGUAAAAUGGCUGGGUGUCUAAGCUUGGGGAGGAGAUUUCCGUCUCUUUAAUGAAAGCGCUCUGGCACGGGGGAGCUCUACAUGGACUGCUGUGUAUUGCUCCUCAUGGGGCAGUCUGGGCGUCCAGAGGACACAGGAUCACAUAGAGGAUGGCCUUUUCUGAAAUCAAGGUCUGGUCUAUCAUCACUCAUUGUCCUCACCACCCAUGACCUCCAUGCAUGGUGAGGCUGAACCAGGGCUUCAGAGACUCAUAGAAUCUGUGAAUGUGUUCUAAGGGGUUUUUCUCUGUAGCCUCGGAUGUUCUGGAAGUUGCUCUGUAUACCAGGCUGUUCUUCAUCUUAGAGAGCUGCCAGCCUCUGUUUCCAAGUAAUGGGAUUAAAGUCAUGUGCCACCACCCC